rnacentral:tRNA from 1 species
AUCAGGUUGGCCAGGUCGAAGGAGUACUGGAUGCUCUUGGCGUCCAGGCGCACGCGGAAGUUCUCCACGCCCACCUGGUUC